GCCGGUGUAGCUCAGUGGUAGAGCAACUGUCUUGUAAACAGUAGGUCGUCGGUUCGAUCCCGACCUCCGGCUC
rnacentral:tRNA from 1 species